GAUGAACGCUGGCGGCGUGCCUAAUACAUGCAAGUCGAGCGAACAGACGAGGAGUUUGCUCCUCUGACGUUAGCGGCGGACGGGUGAGUAACACGUGGAUAACCUACCUAUAAGACUGGGAUAACUUUGGGAAACCGGAGCUAAUACCGGAUAAUAUAUUGAACCGCAUGGUUCAAUAGUGAAAGACGGUUUUGCUGUCACUUAUAGAUGGAUCCGCGCCGCAUUAGCUAGUUGGUGAGGUAACGGCUUACCAAGGCAACGAUGCGUAGCCGACCUGAGAGGGUGAUCGGCCACACUGGAACUGAGACACGGUCCAGACUCCUACGGGAGGCAGCAGUAGGGAAUCUUCCGCAAUGGGCGAAAGCCUGACGGAGCAACGCCGCGUGAGUGAUGAAGGUCUUCGGAUCGUAAAACUCUGUUGUUAGGAAAGAACAAAUGUGUAAGUAACUGUGCACGUCUUGACGGUACCUAAUCAGAAAGCCACGGCUAACUACGUG
rnacentral:rRNA from 1 species